GCACACAGCGAAGAAGUUUUAUCGUUCGUUAAAUCUUAAUUGUGAUUAUAAUCAAUGCAGUUUGGUCAAAUUCAGCUGAUAUUUCCACACAGUCUGCUAGCUGUAGGUUUCUAUAUGCACUGAAAAAACAUCACUUACUUCCCGUUUAAUCUGUUCAUAUUCAAUAUUCAACAUCUAUUCAUUUUGCCAUUGCUUUGCACAGCGGACGAUCCGGUGGCUGAGGUGUUUUAGAAGCCGAACUUUAUCCAUGAUGGCGAUCACCAGUUAUGCUGUCAAGAACCGUAAAAAAGAAGCAGACACCAAGGACCACAGAGCCACAGAGGACACGGAGGAGGUCGAGGACCGGGACGAGGUAGAGGACCGGGACAGUGUGGAGGACCAGGACGACGAGGAGAAGGUAGAGGACAGGGAGGACCGGGACGAGGAGGACCAGGACAUGGAGGAGGAGGAUUUUUGAGCAUUUAUUAAAUCUAUCAAACAAUUGCAUAAGAAGGACAGAUUUCCUGUGGCAGUCCCUCCUGGUGUGCAGAAGGCCUUAAUCAGUCCGGGGACAGCGAAGAUGCUCACACAGCACACACAGAGCAUAUCAGUUGAUAAGAGAAACAAUGUGAGGAGGAUGGUUUUCCACCAGACGGCUCUUUUUGAGUACACCUUACCCAUACAUGGUAAAGCGUUGUAGUCGGUGGGAUCCCCUGAGCUGCCAGGCGGCCAAGAGGAGGCUGAGGAGAGGGGAAUGUUGGAAGAAAGUGCAGAUGCAGAGGGUCUGUCGGAAGACGUGAAGGGUCUGUCGGAGGACGCGGAGGGUCUGUCGGAGGACGCGGUGGGUCUGUCGGAGGACGCGAAGGGUCUGUCGGAGGACACAGAGGGUCUGUUGGAGGAUGCGGAGGACACAGAGGGUCUGUCACAAGAAAGUGCAGAUUUGUUUGAACUGCCAGCCGGUCAAGAGGAGGCUGAGGAGAGGGGUCUUUCGCAAGAAAGUGCACCUGCUAAGACUGAUAUUUCACAAUUGAGUUGGAGUGACAGUGAGUAACUGAAGUGUUUUCUUGUAGUUUUUUCUUCAACAUGCCAUCAGUUUAAUGGUGAGGAGGACAGUUCAAGCCUCAUCGAAUGUUCCAUUUGAAUGUUAAAAAGGUAUAAUAAAUUGCAGAUGCAAAGAAGAAUGUGUUUCAAUUGAGAGUUGGAGUGAGAGUGAAUGACUAAAGUGCUUUAAAUUGUUUCAAUGUUGGUCAGUAAGACUUGUUGUGCUUCAUAACUACUGCAUCAUAGAGUGUUAGCCCAAAACAAUCUAAAUAAAAAAAACUGCUUCUGGUUAAGUUUGAAGCUGAUUGGAGCUCAAAUGAGUUUCUAUCAUUAAGGAGUUUCACACCUAGAAGUUGGGUCCUUUUCCCCCCAUUGUAAUGCAUAUGAAGUUGGGUCUCCAUGUAAGUAAGGGUUAGAGUAAGAUCAAUUUGGGAUUCAUUGUGUUGCAGCCUCUGUGAGUAUUCUGGUUAAUUUUUAAGCUGAUUGGAGCUCAAAUGACUGUUUCUAUCAUUAAAGAGUUUCACACCUA